AAGGAUCAUUACCGAAUUGUCAACACGAGUUGUUGCUGGUCCUCAAACGGGGGCACGUGCACGCUCUGUUUACACAUCCACUCACACCUGUGCACCCUCUGUAGUUCCGUGGCAUGGGGGACCCUGCCCUCCUGUUGUGGUCCUACGUCUUUACACACACUCUGUAACAAAGUAUCAUGGAAUGCAUGACGCGUUUAACGCAAUACAAUACAACUUUCAGCAACGGAUCUCUUGGCUCUC
rnacentral:misc_RNA from 1 species